rnacentral:tRNA from 1 species
ACAGGCCCUAGGAUGCGGGCGGCCGUCCUCCCGGCCGGGUGCCGGGGGAGGGGGCGGUUCCGUUCCGCCGGUCGGCG